rnacentral:misc_RNA from 1 species
UUUCCGUAGGUGAACCUGCGGAAGGAUCAUUAAUGAGUUGUCAUGGGGUUCGAUGCUGGCAGCCAGUUUUUGGAUGCAUGUGCUUGCCCUAACAAUCAUCUUCUUCCAAACACCUGUGCACAUUUUUGAGGGAGUCUUGAGUUGGUUGCCGCUCUUGGGUGAUUUUCUCACAUUCCCUUAAAUCAUUAUACGCUAUUAACAAUGUUGAACGUGCUCUGUGCCGCAAGGCCAUUAAUAUAAUACAACUUUUAACAACGGAUCUCUUGGUUCUC